AGUGAAUAUAGUUUACUCAAAACUUUAGUCUGUGAACCUAAAGAUGGAGAUUAAUUAUCUCCUAUUCACCG
rnacentral:tRNA from 1 species